rnacentral:rRNA from 1 species
AGUGAACGCUGGCGGUAGGCCUAACACAUGCAAGUCGACCGCAAGACAAGUAAGAGUUUGUUUUACCGGGUGGGGAGGGCCGGCCGGGGGGGGAUAAAACCGGAACUUAUUUUUUGGUGGGGGUAACGGAGGGGAAAUUACCCUAAUACCCCCUACCGCCUACCGGGUGAAACAAGGGGACUUUCGACCUUUGCCCGAUUAAUGGGGCGAUGUCGGAUUAGCUUGUUGGCGGGGUAAAGGCCCACCAAGGCGACGAUCCGUAGCUGGUCUGAGAGGAUGAUCAGCCACACUGGAACUGAGACACGGUCCAGACUCCUACGGGAGGCAGCAGUGGGGAAUAUUGGACAAUGGGCGCAAGCCUGAUCCAGCCAUACCGCGUGGGUGAAGAAGGCCUUCGGGUUGUAAAGCCCUUUUGUUGGGAAAGAAAAGCAGCAGGUUAAUACCCCGCUGUUCUGACGGUACCCAAAGAAUAAGCACCGGCUAACUUCGUG